rnacentral:rRNA from 1 species
UACGUAGGGGGCAAGCGUUGUCCGGAUUUAUUGGGCGUAAAGAGCGUGUAGGCGGCUAGGUAGGUCCGUUGUGAAAACUCGAGGCUCAACCUCGAGACGUCGAUGGAAACCAUCUAGCUAGAGUCCGGAAGAGGAGAGUGGAAUUCCUGGUGUAGCGGUGAAAUGCGCAGAUAUCAGGAAGAACACCCGUGGCGAAGGCGGCUCUCUGGUACGUGACUGACGCUGAAACACGAAAGCGUGGGUAGCAAACAGG